rnacentral:rRNA from 1 species
CCUACGGGAGGCAGCAGUGAGGAAUAUUGGUCAAUGGACGAGAGUCUGAACCAGCCAAGUAGCGUGAAGGAUGACUGCCCUAUGGGUUGUAAACUUCUUUUAUAUGGGAAUAAAACAGGGUAUGCAUACCCUCUUGUAUGUACCAUAUGAAUAAGGAUCGGCUAACUCCGUGCCAGCAGCCGCGGUAAUACGGAGGAUCCGAGCGUUAUCCGGAUUUAUUGGGUUUAAAGGGAGCGUAGGUGGAUUGUUAAGUCAGUUGUGAAAGUUUGCGGCUCAACCGUAAAAUUGCAGUUGAAACUGGCAGUCUUGAGUACAGUAGAGGUGGGCGGAAUGCGUGGUGUAGCGGUGAAAUGCUUAGAUAUCACGAAGAACUCCGAUUGCGAAGGCAGCUCACUGGCCUGCAACUGACACUGAUGCUCGAAAGUGUGGGGAUCAAACAGGAUUAGAUACCCUAUUAGUC